AUCAGCAUGCCGCGUGCAGGAAGAAGGCCUUCGGGUUGUAAACUGCUUUUGUACGGAACGAAACGGUCUGCUUUAAUACAGCGGGCUAAUGACGGUACCGUAAGAAUAAGCACCGGCUAACUACGUGCCAGCAGCCGCGGUAAUACGUAAGGUGCGAGCGUUAAUCGGAAUUACUGGGCGUAAAGCGUGCGCAGGCGGUUAUAUAAGACAGUUGUGAAAUCCCCGGGCUCAACCUGGGAAUUGCAUCUGUGACUGUAUAACUAGAGUACGGUAGAGGGGGAUGGAAUUCCGCGUGUAGCAGUGAAAUGCGUAUAUAUGCGGAGGAACACCGAUGGCGAAGGCAAUCCCCUGGACCUGUACUGACGCUCAUGCACGAAAGCGUGGGGCAGCAAACAGGAUUAGAUACCCCUGGUA
rnacentral:rRNA from 1 species